rnacentral:lncRNA from 1 species
GGUUGUAUUACAGUAAGCAAGGAAUAUUUGACCCUCAGACAGAUCCUUCCUUUCUCAACCAUAAGCCUUGCACCGGAAACAACCCAAUAACCGGGAGGUUCUUGUGGUCCUCGAGUCAUCUCAGAAGUAUCGACAAAUUUCAAGAGCUUAGGGGCUUGCACAGGAACGGGAGGACCACCAGGGUAAAUGGCGGAAUUUAUGUUCACAUCAGCUGGCUUUGGAGGUGGCUUCUGAGGGAGGUUCUUGAGGUCCUCGAGUCAUCUCAGUAGUAUCGACAAAUUUCAAGAGCUUAGGGGCUUGCACAGGAACGGGAGGACCACCAGGGUAAAUGGCGGAAUUUAUGUUCACAUCAGCUGGCUUUGGAGGUGGCUUCUGAACUGAUGUGAAGUGCUGGCUAAUGAGAGUUGAUAUCAGUCCAGAUUUGCGGGCCAACCCAGGGGAACCAUCCCACUCCGGGUGCUUUACCAUAGUAGCUCCCAUGACAGUCGAGAAACGGAGUCUCAG